AGAUUUAAACAUUUCAACAAGUGCUUCAUUUGUGGCACAUAUCCAAUCAAUAUUCAUUUUUUCACCUUGUGUUCCUCAAUAUUUUGAUCAUUAUUCAACAAUGACAUGCAUAUUAGUUGCAUCUUUCAUAAAUCUCCAUAUAAAGGAAUCAAGAUUUGUCAUGUUUGGGAUUGGGUGUCCAGGGAAGUGGUCCCUUACAGCUAAUCCAUCACAGUGGUUAGGAAAUUGUGCAUCUGAGUCAUCCCCCAAUGGAGCAGUACACCAUUCAGUUGAAAGUAAACAUUUAAUUCUCAUUAUUCUAGCUGUGGUAUGACAUAACACUCCAACAUGUCCAUAUACAUAAUGUUAAUUACCGUAGGCUUGGUAAAAGAGAAUUAUCUGAUCACUUCAUCUACAGUCAAUGAACAUUAAUGGGAUAGUCACAAAAUCAAUAUAUAAUGUUCACA
rnacentral:lncRNA from 1 species